rnacentral:rRNA from 1 species
UACGGAGGGUGCGAGCGUUGUCCGGAAUCACUGGGCGUAAAGGGCGCGUAGGGGGCGGAGCAAGUCAACGGUGAAAGCUCGACGCUCAACGUCGAGUCGGCCGUCGAGACUGCUUUGCUCGAGCACUGUAGAGGCAGAUGGAAUUCCGGGUGUAGCGGUGGAAUGCGUAGAGAUCCGGAAGAACACCGGUGGCGAAGGCGGUCUGCUGGGCAGUUGCUGACACUGAGGCGCGACAGCGUGGGGAGCAAACAGG